UUUAUUUUGCUUCCCAGACUGGAAACCACUGUAGUGCAGUUGGACUUGACGUCUAGCAACACAACAUCAGACUUUAAACAAGCAGACCCGGUGGCUUUGCAAGUUAGCGGCUGCAUUCACAGCCGUGGUGCCAGUGUGAGAGCGCCCGAGUAGCCCCUGCUGAGCUUGGGACUGCAGCAACAGGACAAAACACAUAAGAGGAAGAAAAAUACAAAGGGGGAGUAAGCCGGCAAAGGAGCAAGGAGAAUCAGAGGAGACGGCAUGUUGGUUAAAGUUGAGUUUAAAAGACAAGCCCGACUCUAGAGGAGAGACAUAUUGAUUCACCCUCUCAGCUCACAGAAGGUAAAGAGGCAGAGUUGCUCAUCCGUAGGUUGAAAGGUUGAUAGACAGCCAAGAAUUCAGGGUAUUGGUCAUGACUGCGGGCCUGCUGCUGGGAGGAUAGAGAUCAGAUUAAUAGCAUCUACAACGCAGCCUCCAUCCUGGUCUAACCCCACCUCUAAACAACCCGUCGAUCUCUCCCCCUCAGCCAUCACUGUAGUCCACAAAGUCCACUGUGACAAGAGAGCUGAACCCUCAUACGGGCUAGUUUACCAGGCUGCAGCGUCCUGUGAGAACAAAGAGUGACCUCACGAGCUGUCGCUGGAGCAGGGAAGAGACACUCACCCGCCGCGGGGCUUUAGAGACGGCGGCCUUUUAACCAAGCACAUGGGCUGUUGAUGAAGAAAGAUGGCAGUGAGACUGACAGGCGCCACCCCUUCCUCUCGGCCACCCUCCCUCCCCCCAGCGGCCGUGGCUCGGACCGGUUAAGGUUGGUCUGUUGGCAUCCAUCGCAGCAUCUGCAGCAGCUGGCAGAGCGUGGGAAGGAGCAGUAUGCAGGAAACUGAUGUACCGGCCACGAAUGCCUUCAAAGAGUGCAAAUUCCACUGCACCAAUGGGAAUUGCUUGCGUCUGGGCUCGCUGAUCUGCAACCAGCUGAAUAACUGUGGGGACAACAGCGAUGAGGAGAACUGCCCUGUGGUCACCCAACACCCUCCGCCGGGCAUCUUCAACUGAUCCCCGAGGCAGCGGAUGGUUUUGCACUGAAACAUCUCACAUGCGUUACUAAUGAAGACAGCAAACGUUUGUCAUUCUCUGUGAUCAAUGCUUUACUGAUCAGUCUGACGUGUGUUUAGAGCUUUAGAGUGGUGACAGCUGACAGCUGAUGGCUUUCAGUAGCAAAUGCAUUGUUGUUAAUUCGCCACAGAUCUCAACAUAACAUCUGCUAGUGUAUAUAACAGCGGGGGGCCUGCUGUGCUGCCAGGAGAUGUUUCUGUGACACGUUUAAGAUUGGCUGACUGACCUGAU